rnacentral:tRNA from 1 species
UCCCUGGUGGCUCAGACGGUAAAGCGUCUGUCUACAAUGCAGAAGCCCUGGGUUCGAUCCCUGGGUUGGGAA